GGGGGCGAUCGGUUUCGACGGGGUGUGGAAAGCGCGGGUGGCACGCCGAGGUUUCCUGGCCCUCGUUAAUCCCCGGGAAACGAAAAUAGUCGCCAACAACGACUACGCUCUGGCUGCCUAAGAAGGCUGCCCGCCCCCUCCUCCCGGCUCGCGGGGGGGAAUCGGGGCGUCAAUUGACGCGAGCUGGCCAGAAGGUUGCCGGCCCAGCGGCCUUCGGUGAGAACAACGGGCUGGCGGUAGCGCAGCCUGCCCUUCGGCGGCGCCCACCGCGAGAACCCAAAUGAAGCGGCUAAGCGUGUAGAAGCCCGACGUGGACCCUCCUCGGACGCGGGUUCGAUUCCCGCCGCCUCCACCA
rnacentral:tmRNA from 1 species